rnacentral:lncRNA from 1 species
GUUCCCAUUGGGGGGGUCCUAUGGGGUUCCUAUAGGGGUCCUAUGGGGGUCCUAUAGGGGGUUCCUAUGGGGGUCUCAAUGGGGUCCUAUAGGGGGUUCCAAUGGGGGUCCCAUGGGGGGGUCCUAUAUGUGUCCCUAUGUGUGUCCCCUCACGGCAGUGCCGUUGCCGGGGGUCUGUGCAGCGCCGCGUCCAGGGCGGUUCCGAUGGCGGUUCCACCCGUCAGAGCCGCGAACACCCACAGGAAAACACGGUCCACCAACAUGGCGGCGAAACGCCACUGCUCACGGAGCUGCAACGGGAACGAGCCUUGCACCACGGCUUGCACGGCUGCUUUGCACCACGGCUUUGCACGGCUGCUUUGCACGAGUGCUUUGCACCACGGCUUGCACGGCUGCUUUGCACNUUGCACCACGGCUUGCACGGCUGCUUUGCACCACGGCUUUGCACGGCUGCUUUGCACGAGUGCUUUGCACCACGGCUUGCACGGCUGCUUUGCACGGCUGCUUUGCAUGGCUGCUUUGCACCACGGCUUUGCAUGACUUUGCAUGGCUGAGUGCACAGCAGCAAUGCAAUGCAUGGUUCUGCUGCAAGGCUUUGCAAUGCACGGCUGUGCUGCAAGGCUUUGCAAUGCAUGGCCUUGCACUGCAGGAGGGGGAGUUAACACGCCUUGCACUACAGCUUUGCACGGCUGCUUUGCACGGCUGA